CCCUUAGAUGUCCUGGGCCGCACGCGCGCUACACUGACAUGUUCAACAAGCCUCCUAGUUCGACAGGAUUUGGGAAAUCUUUGAACGCAUGUCGUGAUAGGGAUAGAUCAUUGCAAUUAUUGAUCUUGAACGAGGAAUUCCUAGUAAACGCGAGUCAUCAGCUCGCAUUGAUUACGUCCCUGCCCUUUGUACACACCGCCCGUCGCACCUACCGAUUGAAUGGUCCGGUGAAGCGUUUGGACUAUGGUUUUCUGAUGGUCCGCCGUUGGAUUACCGUGGGAAGUUCGUUAAACCUUAUCAUUUAGAGGAAGGAGAAGUCGUAACA
rnacentral:rRNA from 1 species